rnacentral:lncRNA from 1 species
AGCGAGGGAGCGAGCGUGACGCAUGCGCCCCCAACUUGGAUACGAACUCGCCCGCGGUUCAUAAUUGUUCAUAAAGCGGCCGUUAGCAUUGCUCCGACUCCGACUCCGACUGCUGUCUGCCUGCCUGGAGCUGUAUUUCGAGUACCCAAACCCGCACUCACACUCACACUCACACUCACUCACAUUCGAAUCUUAAUCGUUGCCGUGCGUGCGAUUUUUUGUUGGCUUUGCGGUUCCAAGGUAUUUGUUGUUCAAUUUUGAGUUCAUUUUUUGUAUCAUUUUUCGAUUUAUUAAAAGCAAUUUCAAUAGGUACAAUACGCGUACUCGUGUGCGGUAUAUUUUUUUUGCACACACGCAUCGGAUCGGUCCAGUGCCGCCCACUCUCCGGGCCAAGAAGAAACCCGUUUGGAAUAGCCUGGCCAGCGGCAGUGGCUGACUGCCUGACUGCCUGCCUGUUGCCUGCAUGCCUGAACUAAUUGUCGCACAAUUUUUCACCGCGUGGGCCAGGAGCAGACCCCAAUAUUAGAUGCCAUCGUGGCCAAUGGAAAGCGUGUUGUGCGUGAACCGCUUGCAUAAUCUCCACAGCCAGCCCGUAAAUUGUAAGCGUAAUCACAGAGCACGGGUUCAUGCGAUCGGCUGAUGAUUAAACUUCCUGCCAGGAGGCUGCUGCUGCUAAACUCCCUUUUUAAAUUGAUGCUAAUUAAAUGUAUUGUGAAACAGGAACCGAACAACUGAAAGUUAAACGAGAAACCAGUCUCUGGUUGUUAUUUUCCAGAACAACUCAAUGGAAAGAGUUCAUCCAGAUCUAAAUAUAAAUGUUGUAAGUCAUAACAAGCGAGUCGCGGGCAGGCAGGCAGGAGUCUGGUGACUGCCCUGCCACAUGGGUGACAUAAUCUGAUGUUUGCUGCUGGCUCCGAAUGCAACGAAAGUUGCUCACCGCUACCGAUGUGUCGAUGCUGAGAACUGACCUCAGCCAGGUCUACACUUUUGGCAACAUAUCUCAUCCUUGAGGUGGCUAAAAAUGUCUCAAAGCGUUCAAUGCCAGCCUUUGUGGCACAUCGCUGGCAGUGCAGUGCGUAGAACGUGCCGUGUGGCAAGUGUGGCCGCUGCCGCUGCCGCUGCCUGCCUCAACCUUGGCCGUCAUUUGGCGGUGCGCUGGCAUUAAGAAAUUUAACCACAUUACACGGCCACACUGCGUAUACUCGACUUGGG